rnacentral:tRNA from 1 species
GCACCCGUAGCUCAGCUGGAUAGAGUACUCGGCUACGAACCGAGCGGUCGGAGGUUCGAAUCCUUUCGGGUGCGCCA